rnacentral:rRNA from 1 species
GACGAACGCUGGCGGCGUGCUUAACACAUGCAAGUGGAGCGACGAACCAGGCUUCGGCCUGGGGCAGAGCCGCGAACGGGUGAGUAACACGUGGGUAACCUGCCUCGAUGACCGGGACAACCCGAGGGAAACCCGGGCUAAUACCGGAUGUGCUCCUUCACAUCAGUGAAGACAGGAAAGGAAGCUUCGGCCUCCGCAUCGAGAUGGGCCCGCGGCCCAUUAGCUUGUUGGUGAGGAACGGCUCACCAAGGCUGCGAUGGGUAGCUGGUCUGAGAGGACGAUCAGCCACACUGGGACUGAGACACGGCCCAGACUCCUACGGGAGGCAGCAGUGGGGAAUCUUGUCGCAAUGCGCGAAAGCGUGACGCAGCAACGCCGCGUGGGGGGAAGAC